GGCGCAAACUUGAAGUGGAGUAGAUAAGUGUAGUCAGUUGAUCCUACAAAUCUACUCUACUUCAAAUUUGAGCCC
rfam:Haemonchus placei strain MHpl1 genome assembly, scaffold: HPLM_scaffold0000039